AUAGGCCCUAAAUGAAAAUCAGAUCAAGGGUCGAGGUGUUGCCACCUCAAUCUCUGUCAUUUGGUCCGAUCAAAAGGCCCUCACUAUAUCAGGGCUCACAAAAUAAUUAUGAGUCAACUAUAUAAAUCUCUUGGAUCUAAAUUGCCUGUCAAAAUUUGCAGAGAAGAGAAGGAAUAGUUAUUUCAUCAGGAAAGUUUCCAACUGUCCUCAAAGGCUUCCAAUAAUCCAUCAUGCUACUGGUAUCAAUCUUCCCUAGCAAUAGAGUAUUGGAAGACUUGUGGACCGUUGAAGACACAUUUCUUUCAUCGAGGUAAAUCGGGUCGAGCCAUCUAUCUAGAUUACAAAAGACAGAAAACCUAGCUCAAGCCACGUCACAAGUACGAGCUGGAUGCAUAGUAAUUGGUCUCCUGCUUCAAGCUUAGUCAGAGUACUUUUCUCUUGGAAGUAUGGAAUAAAACAAAAGUGAAAUUUCUUUGUUAUCUUCUCUCAGUUCUGGACUUCCUAUGGAGGUUAUGAGAAACUUAUAAAUUAUAAUAGUUUGAUUAUAGUAAUGGCAAGUUCAACAAGGUUUUGGUCCCAACUUCCAAGAGGUUGGAAAGAGCAAGGUCUAAACAAGUGCUACAUAUACUUUCACAAAGAGAUAGACAACCCUUCUCUCUCCCUUUUUUGCAGGAAACUCAUCUCUGAAUUAGCUACGCCAUGUCUAGCAAAUAUAACAAUCCCCAGCCCCCCAAUCGGACAACAUUAGUAAUCUAAGUCUCCAUCAAGGUCCAACUCUGUCUCUUUGUGCCAGUGCCACCGCCUUAUGUGAGCACAAUUUCCUGCGGACUUUCUCAGCCAUCAGAGAGAGAGAGUGGGGCUGGAGCAUGCAAACCCUCCCAUUUCUUCCAUUUCGUGCACUCUUAUUUGCAGAAAGUUGGCAUUCUCUGAACUCUCUCCCUCAGUGGCCCUUUCAUGACUUUAGGUUGAAGGAGAAGCCUUUGAGAUGUGGGGGUUCAGAAAUUGCCAGCCUUCUUACCAGUUUCAACAGUUCAUUAAUAAGCCGCGUGCAGAUAUAUAUACAAAAUUAUUUGUAGCAACUUGAUGAAAGACUCGUUCAAUUAUCUCUCUAUGGUCGUGCCCAUAGAAGGAGAGUCACAUGAGUUUUAUCUUGGAGCCAUGUAGCAUUGAAAGAACCCGCACGAAGGGUAGACAACACAACUUUAAGACAGCGUCCUCUAUGUGACUCCAAAGGCUUGAUUUUCUAACUCUCUUCUUAUAUUUAUAUUAUUUUGAAUCAUGUUAAUGUUAUUUAAUUGAAUUGUGCAAAUCAUUAAUUUCCCCUACAAUCUAAAGUCGUGUUGUAUGAUUUGUGAGUAGAUAUUUGGUAUUGUGAUUUUCAAAUAUAAAAUCACAUGUAAGUUCACCAACAGUAGUAAAACCAGCCAUGAACUGUCAUUUAGAUGAUAGAAAUAAAUAUUGGGUCAUGAAUGCCAUGGAUAGUUUGGGAGAUUAAUUAUAAGAUUGCUUAAUACUUUUUUAUAUUUAAAGAAUUGAAAUAAUUUGUCAUUUACUUUGCACAUUUUACAUAACCUAAUAGAUUAUAACAACAUACUCUAGAAGAAAUACAUCAAAUAUGAUAGCCUCUUUGUCAUCAAUCAGAAAGAAAAUUUUAGUUAAUUUUCUUCUUCCUAAUAUACGAAUUUUCAUUUCAAGCAUGUAGUUACUUCAUCAUGUUAUGUCGACACCAUUUGAAAUAUAUACGGAAACUGUUAGUAUAAUUUUGUAGAUUUCUGUCUAAUUUUGUUAUGCUUUCCAUCCACAAAUGCAGUAAAACCUCACUUAGCUUGCAAACAAGUUGGAAUUUUGAUAUAAAUGUUCUCAACUCCUAAAAAAAAUAAAAAAUAAUAAUAAAAAUAAAACAAAUCUUGGGAGCUUGUAAGCUUAGAUUUUAAUAUUCUACUGAAUGUGAUGAGCUAGAUUAAAUUCAACCUUAGAUCAUGUUUAGCAUCGUUAAUUCUAGC